GAAAAAUACCUUAACUUACAAGCACCUAAUUCUUUCAUUUUUUAUACUUCAUGCUUCUCUUUUGGAGGAAGAAAAGACAAAAAAUAGGAAAAGAUUUUCCCUCUUUUUUAUUUUCUUUCAAAGUAAUUUCUCAAUUUUGGUUUGCCAUUACCUAUUCACUUCUGCACCCGCAUAUUUUGUUACUAGCUGCAGUUUUUAUAUGAAUGGAAUUUUAUUGCAUAGUUGAAGAGUUAUCGCUUCUGCAAUUUUGAAUUUUUUUUUUGACUUAAAUUAAUUUUAUCUUACAUUGUAGAUUCAAAAAAAAGCCUG
rnacentral:misc_RNA from 1 species